rnacentral:rRNA from 1 species
CGGCAUGCUUUACACAUGCAAGUCGAACGGUAACAGGCCGCAAGGUGCUGACGAGUGGCGAACGGGUGAGUAAUGUAUCGGAACGUGCCCAGUCGUGGGGGAUAACGUAGCGAAAGCUACGCUAAUACCGCAUACGAUCUACGGAUGAAAGCGGGGGAUCGCAAGACCUCGCGCGAUUGGAGCGGCCGAUAUCAGAUUAGGUAGUUGGUGAGGUAAAGGCUCACCAAGCCGACGAUCUGUAGCUGGUCUGAGAGGACGACCAGCCACACUGGGACUGAGACACGGCCCAGACUCCUACGGGAGGCAGCAGUGGGGAAUUUUGGACAAUGGGCGCAAGCCUGAUCCAGCAAUGCCGCGUGCAGGAUGAAGGCCUUCGGGUUGUAAACUGCUUUUGUACGGAACGAAACGGUGAGCUCUAAUACAGUUUGCUAAUGACGGUACCGUAAGAAUAAGCACCGGCUAACUACGUG